AAAUUGAAGAGUUUGAUCAUGGCUCAGAUUGAACGCUGGCGGCAGGCCUAACACAUGCAAGUCGAACGGUAACAGGAAACAGCUUGCUGUUUCGCUGACGAGUGGCGGACGGGUGAGUAAUGUCUGGGAAACUGCCUGAUGGAGGGGGAUAACUACUGGAAACGGUAGCUAAUACCGCAUAACGUCGCAAGACCAAAGAGGGGGACCUUCGGGCCUCUUGCCAUCGGAUGUGCCCAGAUGGGAUUAGCUAGUAGGUGGGGUAACGGCUCACCUAGGCGACGAUCCUAGCUGGUCUGAGAGGAUGACCAGCCACACUGGAACUGAGACACGGUCCAGACUCCUACGGGAGGCAGCAGUGGGGAAUAUUGCACAAUGGGCGCAAGCCUGAUGCAGCCAUGCCGCGUGUAUGAAGAAGGCCUUAGGGUUGUAAAAGUACUUUCAGCGGGGAGGAAGGGAGUAAAGUUAAUACCUUUGCUCAUUGACGUUACCCGCAGAAGAAGCACCGGCUAACUCCGUGCCAGCAGCCGCGGUAAUACGGAGGGUGCAAGCGUUAAUCGGAAUUACUGGGCGUAAAGCGCACGCAGGCGGUUUGUUAAGUCAGAUGUGAAAUCCCCGGGCUCAACCUGGGAACUGCAUCUGAUACUGGCAAGCUUGAGUCUCGUAGAGGGGGUAGAAUUCCGGUGUAGCGGUGAAAUGCGUAGAGAUCUGGAGGAAUACCGGUGGCGAAGGCGGCCCCCUGGACGAAGACUGACGCUCAGGUGCGAAAGCGUGGGGAGCAAACAGGAUUAGAUACCCUGGUAGUCCACGCCGUAAACGAUGUCGACUUGGAGGUUGUGCCCUUGAGGCGUGGCUUCCGGAGCUAACGCGUUAAGUCGACCGCCUGGGGAGUACGGCCGCAAGGUUAAAACUCAAAUGAAUUGACGGGGGCCCGCACAAGCGGUGGAGCAUGUGGUUUAAUUCGAUGCAACGCGAAGAACCUUACCUGGUCUUGACAUCCACGGAAGUUUUCAGAGAUGAGAAUGUGCCUUCGGGAACCGUGAGACAGGUGCUGCAUGGCUGUCGUCAGCUCGUGUUGUGAAAUGUUGGGUUAAGUCCCGCAACGAGCGCAACCCUUAUCCUUUGUUGCCAGCGGUCCGGCCGGGAACUCAAAGGAGACUGCCAGUGAUAAACUGGAGGAAGGUGGGGAUGACGUCAAGUCAUCAUGGCCCUUACGACCAGGGCUACACACGUGCUACAAUGGCGCAUACAAAGAGAAGCGACCUCGCGAGAGCAAGCGGACCUCAUAAAGUGCGUCGUAGUCCGGAUUGGAGUCUGCAACUCGACUCCAUGAAGUCGGAAUCGCUAGUAAUCGUGGAUCAGAAUGCCACGGUGAAUACGUUCCCGGGCCUUGUACACACCGCCCGUCACACCAUGGGAGUGGGUUGCAAAAGAAGUAGGUAGCUUAACCUUCGGGAGGGCGCUUACCACUUUGUGAUUCAUGACUGGGGUGAAGUCGUAACAAGGUAACCGUAGGGGAACCUGCGGUUGGAUCACCUCCUUA
rnacentral:rRNA from 1 species